GACGAACGCUGGCGGCGUGCUUAACACAUGCAAGUCGAACGGAAAGGCCUCUUUCGGGGGGUACUCGAGUGGCGAACGGGUGAGUAACACGCGAGUAACCUGCCCUUGUCUUUGGGUUAACUUACGGAAACUGGGGCUAAUACCGGAUAGGAGCUCCUGCUGACCGGUGGGGGUUGGAAAGUUUCGGCGGUUGGGGAUGGGCUCGCGGCGUAUCCGCUUGUUGGUGGGGAAGUGGCUUACCAAGGCCUUGACGGGUAGCCGGCCUGAGAGGGUGACCGGCCACAUUGGGACUGAGAGGCGGCCCAGGCACCUACGGGAGGCAGCAGUGGGGAAGAUUGCACAAGGGGUGGAAGCCUGAUGCAGCAGCGCCGUGUGCGGGAUGACGGCCUUCGGGUUGUAGACCGCUUUCGCUCAUGACGAAGCUUUGUGUGACGGUAGUGGGUAAAGAAGCACCGGCUAACUACGUG
rnacentral:rRNA from 1 species